UGAAUGGUGUUGUUUCUGACCCAUGAAGC
rnacentral:piRNA from 1 species